AUGAAAUCUUUUAUGACCCUGUGGAAGGUGCUCCCCUUGUAUCCUAUCGGAACCCCAUCUUUUCUGAAUUCUCCUGUGCAGAACUGCCUAAAAUUCUCCGCCGUCUUAGGCACAACGUCUGCAAAGAGCUCAAUCUUCAUACGACCAACUUCCUGGCCGCCAAUGCUGACAUCAAAGAAUACCACGGGAUUGACAGGGCUUGAAUUUGCCACCGCCAUGCCUCUGACCAGGAAGGGCUGGCUGCCCCUCCUGUAGCUCCCAAGCCCUUCUUGGUCAGAGGCGGCUCUCCAGGACCCGGCCUUGCCUGCAGCUCCACAGGCCCCUUCCAAGGUCCAAUCACGAGCCUGUGGGACCAGCGAUCACGGCUGACCUGGGAUCCUGGGCCUGUGUUCCUCUUCCCAUCACUCUGUCCUUCCUCUUGUGUUUAGUCCCCCAUCCCAGGCUCUGCUAGGGUCCCCUAAGAGGGGGUGGAUAUCAGCGUGACCAGAAGUCCCUCCUUUGGACAUUCAGCUUCUUGGGGUCCUAUGGCCAGAUGGUCUCUGAGGUUGCCUCCUCAUCUUUCCCAAUCAGCAUUUUGAAACAGAAACGAAGGUCUCCAGGGGGCUUUCUCUUAUGAAAUUAUCUGGCUUCAUUAUGUCAUGAGAAAAAGAGAGAAUCCAAACACACCACAGACUGCCAGGCGUUUGACAAGUGUCAGCAGCCAGAGCCAGGGUUGGUGAUUGGGGAGCCCCCCUCCUCUACCUUUAGAAUCUGAACAAUGGGGCCUUUUGUGGGGGUUGUCGCUUCUGCUGGGCCCUUCUGAGUCACUGCAUAUUUUUAUGUGUUCAGUAAUAUACAGUGUGAGUCAUUCUCCAGCUUGGGGGUAUUUUGGGACUUGUGCUGUUUUACUUACAAUUGCAGGAAAAAAAUCAAAUAUUACGGAGGUGAUAAAAAAUACAGCAAAUUCAUAUGACCCAACUUGGUGUGUUCACAAUGCCAGGGCUGGGAAGGGAGCUAGCUGUGCCUGAGGUCAUUGUGAA
rnacentral:lncRNA from 1 species